UGGGGAAUAUUGCACAAUGGAGGGAACUCUGAUGCAGCGACGCUGCGUGAGUGAUGAAGGACUUCGUUUCGUAAAACUCUGUUCUAUGGGAAGAAAAGGACUGUACCAUAGGAGAAAGCUCCGGCUAAAUACGUGCCAGCAGCCGCGGUAAUACGUAUGGAGCGAGCGUUGUCCGGAAUUAUUGGGCGUAAAGGGUGCGCAGGCGGCUUUACAAGUUGGAUGUGAAAUAUUGUGGCUCAACCACAAACGUGCAUCCAAAACUGCAAAGCUUGAGUUAAGGAGAGGUAAGUGGAAUUCCUGGUGUAGCGGUGGAAUGCGUAGAUAUCAGGAGGAAUACCGGUGGCGAAGGCGACUUACUGGGCUUAAACUGACGCUCAGGCACGAAAGCGUGGGGAGCAAACAGG
rnacentral:rRNA from 1 species